rnacentral:lncRNA from 1 species
CUGCCUAUAUUCAGGACUUGCUGGAUCAUUACAGUUGUCAGCCACAUUAAUCAAAAAUUCUUUGACAAGCCUGUCAUAGCACUUGUCCAGACCAACCACAGUUUUCAUCAAACCUGCAUACUCAAGGGCUUCAACAACACUUGGACAUUCAAGAGUAUCAUCUUUUAAAUUCCUUUCCAGAGCCAGCCUCCUAUGAUACACAAAUUUUCAUCUAGCAGACCGAUUCUCCAGAUGGAAUGAUACAUUAUCCAAGGGAGCAUAGGGAACAGAUUGAGGAACUUUCUUCCUUCCUAUACUCUUUCUAGAUGUGCUGCCAGAUGCAGCAACAUCUGUCUCUGGCUCAAACUCAGAGUCACUGGUUGGUGGAGCUUUCCUUUUCCUAGUCUCAGUUCUAGGAACCACCUUACUAACAGGUUUUGGA